rnacentral:lncRNA from 1 species
UGAAAUGAUAUUUUUUUUCUCUUUGUUUCUGACAUAGUAGAUUUCCUUUGACCUUUGGACAGAUUUUAAACAGUGUUUAGCACACAAUGUCAAUUUUUGUCGGACAGACAUUUGGUGAACCAAAAUCUAUCCAAAUUUGCCUAUUUAAGGGCUGCCCUUUCCUCACUUUGGGGGGACUCCAUCACACUUCCAGGGGGCAUUUUUUAUAAUUACUUUGUCACACAAAAAAAAAAAUUCAGCAGUUGAACACAUGAAAAGUAAGCUGAAAUGGUGAGCUUUGGGAGUGAAUCUUAGAGUGCAAACUUUUAGAAAGGUAUAAGUCCUCUUUAGAGUUCGUUUUUGGGUUCCCUUUCUAAGUUUUCGGGUUGUUUUAACACGAAUUUGCUGCUGGUUUUGCUGCUGUUUUUAUACUGCUUUAGUUGCUGAACUACUGUUUAUUCUUUUGCUACCAGGUAAUCCUUUAAGACUCGUAAUGUACGUAUUUUCAGUAAUGGGAACAACUUGAACAUGCUGCACCAUUUAAAUGUGUUUGAAAUGAUGAAUAGUUUGACAACAAAAGAGCUUGUAUGUUAUUGUUAUGUAUCAAGCAUGUGAUAAUGUGAAUAUAGUCCUUCAUAAUACUUGAAUGUGAUAUGUAAGUCGUUUAUGGAUUUUUUAAGCAUGUUUUCAAGCUAUUAUAUCUGAGUAACAAUGCUAAGUAUGUCAUAAAUGACUUUAGGUGUAUAACACAUAGCAUGAGUUCAUUUUAGUUGCUGAAAUUUCACUGCCAACAUAUGCUUCUAGGAAUGCUGUGAUAAUAUCUUUGUGAAUCUGGC